ensembl:lncRNA
AUGACAUCAUCCGCGAGCUCGUGGCGACGUUGCAUCGCGUUAGCAUCCUGUCAACGUGACUGUGUGGUAAGGCUGGCUGGGGGGGGGGGGGGGGGGGGGUGGGGGGGGGGUUUUUUUGGUGGCGUUCAUUUCUGCGACGCAGCCGGGGCAGGGGGGAGGGGCAGGGGGAGGGGCUUGCCCUGCCUCCAUGCCCUCCGCCGGCUGCUGAGGAUCUCAUUUGACAGCUUCAAGGUGGGAAGCAGAAAAAAGACCAAAACAAGAACCCGAGCCCCCCUGCUCUGUUUUCACCCCCCCGCCUCCCUUUCUGUAGGGGGAGAGAAAACCAAUCCGUCUCAUCGCAGUGUGGUGGCUGGGUUUGGCUCUUUGUCAGGGGAGGGGGGGGGGAGGGAUGGGAGGGAUGGGAGGCAGGCGGGCAGCGUGAACGCAUAUCAUGACCACAAUAGAGCAGACGAGCACAGUUCAGCCAUGAAAGCCCAGCGGGAGAGGCUGAGAAUUCCAGGGCUGACGCUAGACCUGACUCCCCGAAGCUCGAGCCCCACUCCCACUAGCCCCUGCAGCCCGUGCAGCCCGCUGCACGCGUUCCAUUUCUGGAGGUAAGCGAGCGCGCAUGUGAUGUCUGUGAAAAGGUCCGUGCACGUUUUGACUCCCUCUAGACAACGUGCACCACAAGGCACCCCCCCCCCCACCCCCACCCCACCCUCCUAAAAUCAUUGAGACGACAUUGAAAGAGGAAGACUCUGGUUAUAUAACGUUGAUAGUGUCCCCCGCCCUCCCUCCUUCCCCCAUCUUGCCGCUCUCUGUUCUGAGGUUUAUGCUCCUCUUUCAUGUGCUAAGUAGGAUUUGUGGCAUUUUCAAUACAUCAAAGUGAAGAACGUCUGAAUCCUUCGUGUAUUGAAAACGGGAAUCGCUGGGGUUUUUUUUUUUUUUUCGAAGCCCUCUGGCUUAUGAUGCGUCCAUUUUGUGGUUAGUAUUUAAAAAAAAUCUGUGUGGAUCUUGUUAUUUUUGACUUCGAUAGCGCGUUCUCCUCUCGGGCUCCACUGGUCACCCACCAUGAGGCUCCGUGUGUCUUUGCUCUGUCAGGACGUCACUCGGGUUCGACCCGUCUGGCCUUGCUGCUACUUUAUAUUUGUUGGGGGCAAAUGGAUAUAAAGACUCUUGUCUGCUUCAUCUCUGCGAUCAUAGUCAGAGGAAGAACUAAUGCAUAUUCACGUUACUGUUUAAGGUGGACGGGUUUGCUGAUGGGUGCUUGGUCACACGUGUGCUUGCACGUCUCUGAUUGGCCGACAGGGCGGCGGUGUGCAAGUUUCUCACACGUGUUCAAAGAGGAGCAGUUUUCUGCGUAAACACGUCGUGCUGCACAGGCUGCAAGUGAAUGUCUUUGCGAAGCGAAACUGUCAUCGUUGCCGUUUGAUUAUUAUUCUCGUCUCGUCAGACUCGGAUGUAGGAACCCCAGCUUUGUUGCUGCUGGGGGGCCGUCCGGCCCGUCGGCCUCGAU